rnacentral:rRNA from 1 species
CAGCAGCCGCGGUAAUACGUAGGGUGCAAGCGUUGUUCGGAAUUAUUGGGCGUAAAGCGCGUGUAGGCGGGAAGGCAGGUCAGGUGUGAAAUCCCUUGGCCCAACCAAGGAACUGCAUCUGAAACCAUUUUCCUCGAGUACGAUAGGGGAGGGCGGAAUUCCCAGUGUAGAGGUGAAAUUCAUAGAUAUUGGGAGGAACACCAGUGGCGAAGGCGACCCUCUGGAUCGAUACUGACGCUGAGACGCGAAAGCGUGGGUAGCAAACAGGAUUAGAUACCCUGGUAGUCCACGCUGUAAACGAUGUGCACUAGGUGUUGGAGGUACUUAAUCCUCCAGUGCCGCAGCUAACGCAUUAAGUGCACCGCCUGGGGAAUACGGCCGCAAGGUUAAAACUCAAAGGAAUUGACGG